rnacentral:sRNA from 1 species
GGUUCAGGCAUGUCGAGUGUGCAAAGCAAGUAAAGUUGGAAAAAAGGCAAAAAAAUGCAAAAAAAAAAAAACACGCUCAGGAGUGGGCUGACUGACUAACUCCUCCUGCCUGCG